UGGUGAACUCCACAUACGCAUCCUUUGCUGAGGAUACGGUUAACGGAGCGAAAGCGACGUUCAACCGCAAAAGAAGCAGAGGGGGCUUAGUGGUGGGGUGACUGCGUACCUUUUGUAUAAUGGGUCAGCGACUUAUAUUCUGUAGCAAGGUUAACCGAAUAGGGGAGCCGGAGGGAAACCGAGUCUUAAUUGGGCGUUAAGUUGCAGGGUAUAGACCCGAAACCCGGUGAUCUAGCCAUGGGCAGGUUGAAGGUUGGGUAACACUAACUGGAGGACCGAACCGACUAAUGUUGAAAAAUUAGCGGAUGACCUGUGGCUGGGGGUGAAAGGCCAAUCAAACCGGGAGAUAGCUGGUUCUCCCCGAAAGCUAUUUAGGUAGCGCCUCGUGAAUUCAUCUCCGGGGGUAGAGCACUGUUUCGGCUAGGGGGCCAUCCCGGCUUACCAACCCGAUGCAAACUGCGAAUACCGGAGAAUGUUAUCACGGGAGACACACGGCGGGUGCUAACGUCCGUCGUGAAGAGGGAAACAACCCAGACCGCCAGCUAAGGUCCCAAAGUCAUGGUUAAGUGGGAAACGAUGUGGGAAGGCCCAGACAGCCAGGAUGUUGGCUUAGAAGCAGCCAUCAUUUAAAGAAAGCGUAAUAGCUCACUGGUCGAGUCGGCCUGCGCGGAAGAUGUAACGGGGCUAAACCAU
rnacentral:rRNA from 1 species